UGCAGCUUACAUUAUGUGUCCAGAGAAGAUUCAUAGUGCGUUCAGGAGCCAUCUUUUAGGCCUUUUCUUGAAACAUAAUUUUUUGUAAAUAGAUAUUUUGAUUUCUUUAUUUAGCUACUUGUCCAUGCUAGACAUUUCUGUAUUUCAUAUAUAUGAGGAACUCCUUGACUGAGCAGAACAGAAUAAGUGACAUUUUGGAACUAUGGAGGAUAUCUUCUGGAGGUCUCAAAUGCCAGGCUUUCAAAAUCCAAGGAAGGUCUAAUCAGCAUUUCAUUACCAUGUCUAGAGCAACAUAGAAGUGAAUCUCCAGCCCGCAAUUUGAAGUGCAGAAACAGAAAUAUUGCUUAUGCGAGGAGAAGGUGAAAAUUGCUGCAUCAAAACUAAUUUGGCUGAGUUGCCUGUUACCGAAUGAUGUACAUGGCAUAGCAUCACAAUGUGCCUGGGAGGCCAAGGAAGGUGAUUAGUCCUGUCUAUGCAGCACUGGUGGCACCCUGCCUGGAGUGCUGGGAUAAGUUCUGGGCCUUCAAGUACAAAAGAAGCACAGACAAACUGAAGUGAGCCCAGGGAAGAGCCACCAGGAUGAGUAGAAGGGCAUGUAUCAUAUAAGAGGAAGCUCUGAUGUGUAAAGAUAUGUUUCCAU
rnacentral:lncRNA from 1 species